AUUGAACGCUGGCGGCAUGCCUAACACAUGCAAGUCGAACGGAGGUAGGGGCAACUCUACUUCAGUGGCGGACGGGUGAGGAAUGCGUCGGAAUCUACCCUAUGGUGGGGGAUAACACAGGGAAACUUGUGCUAAUACCGCAUAAUGUCGAGAGACCAAAGCAGGGGACCGCAAGGCCUUGCGCGAUAGGAUGAGCCGACGCCCGAUUAGCUAGUUGGUAGGGUAAAGGGACCUACCAAGGCGACGAUCGGUAGGCUGGUCUGAGGGGAGUGAUCAGCCACACUGGGACGUGAGACACGGCCCA
rnacentral:rRNA from 1 species